GACGAACGCUGGCGGCGUGCUUAACACAUGCAAGUCGAACGGAAAGGCCCUGCUUUUGUGGGUUUCUCGAUUGGCGAACGGGGGAGUAACACGUGAGUAAACUGCCCUUAACUGUGGGAUAACUUUAGGAAACUGGGGCGAAUACCGGAUAUGAGCUCCUGCUGCAUGUGGGUGGUUAGAAAGUUUCGGCGGUUGGGGAUGGUCUCGCGGCUUAUCAGCUUGUUUGUGGGGUAGUUGCUGACAAAGGCUUUGACGGGUAGCCUGCCUGAGAGGGUGACCGGGCACCAUGGGCCUGCGAUACGCAGCAGAAUCCUACGGGCCGCAGCAGUCGGGAGUCUUGCACAAUGGGGGGACGCCUGAUGCGGCAGCGUUGCGUGCGGGAUGCCGGCCUUCGGGUUGUGAACAGAUUUCGAAUGUGCCGAAGAGUGCGUGACGGUAAUGGGUCAAGAAGCACCGGCUAACUACGUG
rnacentral:rRNA from 1 species